AUGAUUCGUGGGACGUCCUGCCGGUGGUGGCGAGUCGAAGGCGUGCUCCCGUUGUGGUUUCCACUUCGGUUCUUGCGCGCUCGAGGCGGACCCCGAUGAAAUCCUACCGCGGUGCUCUUCGCCGAGUGUCGAGGUGGGCCGGCACGUUUACUUUGAACAAAUUAGAGUGCUUAAAGCAGGCCUGUUGCGCCUGAAUACUGUGUGCAUGGAAUAAUGGAAUAGGACCUCGGUUCUAUUUUGUUGGUUUUCGGAACCCGAGGUAAUGAUUAAUAGGGACAGGCGGGGGCAUUCGUAUUGCGACGUUAGAGGUGAAAUUCUUGGAUCGUCGCAAGACGGACCGAAGCGAAAGCAUUUGCCAAGUAUGUUUUCAUUAAUCAAGAACGAAAGUUAGAGGUUCGAAGGCGAUCAGAUACCGCCCUAGUUCUAACCAUAAACGAUGCCAGCUAGCGAUCCGCCGAAGUUCCUCCGAUGACUCGGCGGGCAGCUCCCGGGAAACCAAAGCUUUUGGGUUCCGGGGGAAGUAUGGUUGCAAAGCUGAACUUAAGGAAUUGACGGAAGG
rnacentral:rRNA from 1 species